GGAAUAUUGGACAAUGGGCGAAAGCCUGAUCCAGCCAUGCCGCGUGUGUGAAGAAGGUCUUCGGAUUGUAAAGCACUUUAAGUUGGGAGGAAGGGCAGUAAAUUAAUACUUUGCUGUUUUGACGUUACCGACAGAAUAAGCACCGGCUAACUCUGUGCCAGCAGCCGCGGUAAUACAGAGGGUGCAAGCGUUAAUCGGAAUUACUGGGCGUAAAGCGCGCGUAGGUGGUUCGUUAAGUUGGAUGUGAAAUCCCCGGGCUCAACCUGGGAACUGCAUUCAAAACUGUCGAGCUAGAGUAUGGUAGAGGGUGGUGGAAUUUCCUGUGUAGCGGUGAAAUGCGUAGAUAUAGGAAGGAACACCAGUGGCGAAGGCGACCACCUGGACUGAUACUGACACUGAGGUGCGAAAGCGUGGGGAGCAAACAGGAUUAGAUACCCUUG
rnacentral:rRNA from 1 species